UCAGGCGGCUGGGCGGCCGCUCUUGCAAGUCCCGAAAGGGCGCAAGGGAGGAAAGUCCGGGCUCCGGAAAGGCAAGGUGCCGGGUAACGCCCGGCGGGGGCAACCCCAGGGAUAGCGCCACAGAGAACAGACCGCCCGCCCGAGCUUCGGCAACGGCAGGUAAGGGUGAAACGGUGCGGUAAGAGCGCACCGCCCCGACCGUAAGGAAGGGGGCACGGCAAGCCCCACCUGGAGCAAGACCGAAUAGGGAUGGACGCGGGUUUCCCGCACGCACGCCUUGCUGCGCCAUCCGGGUAGGUCGCGUCAGGCGCGUUGCAAAGCGCGCCGCAGAGGAAUGGUCGCCGCGUUCUUUCCAUUGCGGAAAGAAUGGCACAGAACCCGGCUUACAGGCCGCCUGAUCGU
rnacentral:RNase_P_RNA from 1 species